GAUUGCACGAAUAAAGUUAAGUUUAUUUUUGAAAAUAGCAAAUAGUGAGAUAUAGUAAGAAAUUAAGUUCAAAGUUGAACUAUGAUAAAAGAAAUAGAUAAAGUAACAAAAAAUAUAGAAGGUAAAAAUUUACUCUAAAAAUUUCUAAAUUUAAUAUAAAGCAUUAAUAUAAAAAUUGCAGUUCUAGUGUUUAAGAAGUGAUAGAACUUAGUAAACAUGACUGAUAAAAUUAAUAAAGAAAAAUAGAUACCAUAAACAGAAUUUGUAAUAGAUUAGUUUAUAACACAAUUACUAAGUAACGAAAUAUUGUGUUGGGCAAAAAAUAUGGAAACAGUAUAAGAGGUUUCUCAUUGCGUACAAUUAUAAUAGCAUUAUCAGGUAUACAACUAAAGCCUCUUUACUAUGAUUUAUUGUCUUUAUAUGAAACAAAAGUAUAUAAUAUCUAUGAAGAACCAAUUGAACACUCAGUAUUCAGUCUUGCAUUGAUAAUAAUGCUGUGCAAUAAGUUAUAGACAUUCGUACGAUCUUAAAAUGAACAGAUCGAUGAAGAAGGUAGAAUAAAUUGGCAUAAGGGUGUGAUUUAUGGUAAGAACAUCGUUCGCGAUAGCAAUCUGAUAGAUAAAAUGAUAGAAAUAAAGGAUCAACGUAGAGAAGAAAGUAAAAAAGAACGCAAUAAGUUUAAAGGAAGUGUUAUGUGGUUCCACACGAUAUUUGCGGAAAAGUUGCAUCAUAAGCGUAGUCGAGAAGCUGGCUUUCUCCGCUUUCAAUAAUUUAUUGAAUCUCGACGUUUCGCGUGACAAAUACAAUUUUUUUGGAUUUUCUUGAUAUGCGAUUUUACACUUGGCACUCACAAAAUGAGAUACGAUUAUUGAGCCUUGUUGAUGCUCGAGCAAAGACGUUUACCAUGCUACGCGAUUACCAGCUUGUUCUGUUCUGUCGCAGUGCCCGCGGUGGUAACGUGCGACGACGACGAUGCACGAAAGUAGCCGAGUUGGGCCGAUCGAAAGGGCCCGUGUGUCGCCGGAAAAGAGCUCGUGUGCAUAGGGAAUUUCUCUGCGCAGGAAAUACGACUGAUUUAAUACAACGACGAUAUCAUGACUGUUGGACUUAGCAGGAAGCAAUGGUACCUGGUCUAUGCCUCUACUGUAGAAGCCAGGCGUACGGGAAUUGAAGUCGCGGAAGGCUGUUUUGAUUGUCUGUUGGGAAUUGAAGAAUUUUCCUGCCAAGAAGUUGUCUAAAUUCCGAAAGAAGUGGUAGUGAGUGGGUGCUAGAUCUGGUGAAUAUGAUGGGUAAUGUAGAGUUUCUAAUUCCAACUCCUGUAGCUUUGCCACGGUCAUUUGUGCGGUGUGCGGUCAAGCAUUGUCAUGCAACAGAAUUGGCAUCAACCGAUUGAUCAAUCUCGGUUGUUUAAUGGCAAGUUGCUGCAUCAUUUUAUCCAGUUGCUUACAGUACAUCUCAGCUGUUAUCGAUGUUCCAGGUUUGAUAAAGCUGUAGUGGAUAACACCCGAUCUGAUCCACCAAACAGUCACCAUAAGUUUCUUCUGUGUCAUGUUGGGUUUUGCGUGAUGUCUCAGUGAUUCAUCACCGCUCAACCACUGAUGUGAGCAUUUACGAUUGUCAUAGAGGAUUUACUUUUUAUCGCAGGUCAAAAGUCAAUUCAGGAAAGAUUUGUUUUUGUGACGAGAAAGCAAGGAAAGAGAAGCCUUUAGUCGCUGCGCCUUCUACACAUCGGUCAAUUCAUGUGGAAUUCAUUUGUCUAACUUCUUUACCUUACCGAUUUUUGCCAAAUAACCCAGUACGGUGGGUAUGGAAACAUUGAAUAUCGAUACCACCUUAUGCGUACUUUGAGAUGGAUCGAACUCUACUACGGCUCUCAGGUGAUUAUUAUCCACUUUCGUCUUGGGUCUUUCAUUUGAUUCUUCACCAAACACAGCGUUGACAUUACGAGCUGUCUCCGACGCUGUGCUUCCACGGCGUAACUCAUAUUCAUAAACCACACGAAUUUUGGACUUUUCCAUAGUUUUACAAAAAUGGGUCCACCAAUAAAACUAAUGAAGAUAUUCGAACAAACAAAUAUGAUUUUUUAAGAGCGAAGACGCACCUAUCAAGGUAACCUAACCUGAAAAUGAAAUCUGGUGGCAAAGCAAAGAUAAUAAAUGUUAUAGAUGGCGCUUUCAUAUGUGUAAAGUUUCAUACUUAAUGACCCAAUACAAAAAAUAUAAUAGUUUUUUUUUUAAGUUAUUAAAAUUCUGAAAAAUUUGAAAAUUUGAAAAAAUGGAAAAUUGGAAAAAUUUGAAAAAUUUGAAAAUUUGAAAAAUUUUGAAAAAAAUGUUUAUCAACGAAUCUGUUUUAGAAGAUUUUAUUUCUGCCAUUAUUUUGACAAUAGAAUUUGUAGCAAGUAUAUUGCAAAAUUUGUUAUUGAUGGAAUUUGUAGCAAAUAUAUUGCAAAAUUUAUUAUUGACAGAUUUGACUGUCUAGGAAGUUAGUUCAAUAAGGAAAUUGUAGAACAACGAUAGCAAAAAUAAAUGUGAUAAUUUCAGACAGUUCAAAUUAA